GCAGAGUUUCGAACUCACUGAACCGUGAGCUUCGAGUCUUCCCCGUCGGUUCAGUUUUCUGGUGAACUCAAGGCGAAAUUCGAAAGGAAUCGUUGUCGAUUUAGUUGGACUCAACUUCUUCUGAUCUCAGGCUAGGAAUCCAACGACCUUUUUGGUUGUUCCCGAUGACCCCAAGAUGGAAUCAGUCUCAAUUUUUACAUUUUAUAUCUAGGUACAUCUGUGGGAAGUGGCACCUCCCUCGCUAGUUGAGCGGCUCCCGGGCAAAGGAAGACUUGAUUUAGGUUCGAGGCACAUGAUCCCGGCGUUAGGGCAUCUUUACGUAGGUAUCUUCGAGUCUUUCCAGUGUAGAACCACUCCUUUAUUCAUAUAUUUUAUUGUAAUUCUUUCAUGUAUUCCUUGAUUAGUUGUAUGCUCUGAACAUGUUCCGC